UGAAAAACCCUAACACAGAGCUCAUCACCCUAACGGCGGCGGCGCUCUUCACCUAACAUAGAGCUCAUCGCCGGUGCCCUCCCUCUCUCCCCCAAUAACACUCGUUGGUCAACCUCGUUCCAACCCCUCCGUAGGUGCCACCUCUGCCGGUGUUCCCUGCAUCGGCGCUCCUUCCGUCUCUCCUGUAAACACCUAUCCCUCCUUCGGCAGUGAGUCACUCUGGUAAGGCCUCCCUCGGCGCUCACUCUCUAUCGCAAACCCUCUGUCGACGCUCACUUUCUCUCACAAAUCCUCAAUCAUCACUCCUCCCUCCAUGGUUCAGCACCCGCCGCGUUGCCGUCUCCCUCUCUGAAGUCAUCGCGCUGCCGUCUCCAUCUCCCUCACUCGUCGCACCUCCGUCAGCUACGUUCAGCGUUCGCAGCACCGUGCGGACUCCUACUGGGAGAAAAAGUCUAAGACUGCUGGUCUUAGGGCAACUACAAACCAUUUGUGUGAUUUGAAUCCUGAGGAUGCGCACGAAAUUCUUAGGCAAGCUGCUGAAAUUUUUGAAGGAAUAGGAAUAAUUAAUAUUGCAGCUCAAUGUUUUUCAGAUUUGGGGGAUCAUGAAAAAGCUGGUAUAAAUUUGAAGUUUAGCUUCUAUAUC